UACAGAGGUCCCAAGCGUUGUUCGGAUUCACUGGGCGUAAAGGGUGCGUAGGUGGUGAGGUAAGUCGGAUGUGAAAUCUCCGAGCUCAACUCGGAAAUGGCAUUGGAAACUACCUUGCUCGAGGUUGGAGGGGGGACUGGAAUGCUUGGUGUAGCAGUGAAAUGCGUAGAUAUCAAGCGGAACACCAGUGGCGAAGGCGAGUCCCUGGACAACUCCUGACACUGAGGCACGAAAGCUAGGGGAGCAAACAGG
rnacentral:rRNA from 1 species